CCACUCUGUCUAAAUAUUAUUUUCCCUUAUUUUUCUUUCAUUAGUUUUCCAUUCUGUUGUAUUUAUUUAAUUUUUAUUUCAUUUUCCAGACCUAAGUCAAUGUUAGUCUACCACUGUACAUCUGGUAACCUCAAUCCCUGCAACCGAGGCAAAAUGGGAUUCCAGGUCUUGGCAACCUUUGAAAUUCCAAUUCCAUUUGCAAGAGCUUUGAGGAGGCCAUAUGCUGAUUUCACCACCAGCAACUUCACAACCCAGUACUGGAAUGCCAUCAGCCAGCAGGCCCCUGCCAUCAUCUGUGACUUCUAUCUGUGGCUCACUGGAAGGAAACCCAGCUACCGAAGGAAGAUACCCUCAUCAACCCAAUUUUACAAAUGGAGAAAUAGAAGCUAAGGGAAGAAUCUGAAGUAAUCGCAAAGGCAGUGACAGAAAGGAUGUGGAGAAAGCUGACUGUCAAAGUCAGUAUUCAGGACCGGAUUUACUGCUACUUAGAGAUGAAUGAAGAAAUCCGAGUGAACGCAGUGUGCUGAUGCUAAAGCAGCUGUCGCCACCCAGCUGUGUGACAUAGGACAUUCUUUCUCUGUCUCACUUGAAUAAUAUGAUGUGUCAGAGGAGAUAUGAUUGUAAUUGCCUAAAUCAAUUUUUGUGAUCAAGAAUCAGGAGCAUGAACAGUAUUGCUCUCUGUGUUAGCCCCUUUAUAAGGGAGGAAGUCGUCUUCAGCAUGUUGAAUUGUCAUCUUUCUUAGCAGUGCAAAUGACUAAAACUUAGCCAAUGUAGAGUUUAUCCAAACUUGGAGCAAAGUGAAAAGAAAACAUUGUGAUUACGGGGAAAAUAUUUGUAUGGGACUAUUAAAUAAAGACACAAAAAGAAGAAAACCCAAAUAUUAUAGGCAGAAAUGCUAAAGGUUAUAAAAUAUAUCAGGAUUGUAAGAAGGCAUGGAUAAAGAACAAAGUUCAGUUAGGAAAGAGAAACACAGAAGGAAGAGACACAAUAAAAGUCAUUAUGUAUUCUGUGAGAAGUCAGUAAGAUUUGUGGGGAACGGGUUGGUUUGUUGUAUGGUAUGUAUUUCAGCAAUAAUCUUUAUGGCAGAGAAAGCUAAAAUCCCUUAGCUUGUGUGAAUGAUCACUUGCAGAAUUCCUCAAGGUAGGCAUGAUGAAGGAGGGUUUAGAGGAGACACAGACACAAUGAACUGAACUAGAUAGAAAGCCUUAGUGUACUCAGCUAGGAAUAGUGAUUCUGAGGACACACUGUGACCUGAUUAUGUCAUUACAUGUAUGGUAGUGAUGGGGAUGAUGGAAGCUUUGUCCAGGCCUGUGUGUGAACCCAAUGUUUUUUUAGAAAUAGAACAAGUAAGUGCAUUGCUAUAGCAUAACACAAAAUUUGUUUAAGUGGUGGUCAGCAAAUCCUUGAAUGCUGCUUAAUGUGACGAGGUUGGUAAAGUCGUUUGUGCAACACUCUUACUCCCUGAAUGUUUUGCUGUGCUGGGGCCUGUGCAUGCCAGACAAGGCCAAGCUGGCUGAAAGAGCAACCAGCCACCUCUGCAACCUGCCACCUCCUGCUGGCAGGAUUUGUUUUUGCAUCCUG
rnacentral:lncRNA from 1 species